UGGUUUAAAAAGGCUUGCAAAAAUGUUCAUUCAACAUACCGUUUCAAAGCUUAUUUUGUGCUUUUUCCAAUAAUAAAACUUAAUCACAAAAUUUGAGUAGUUGUAUUAAUUGUAUUAAAUUAUGACAAAAACAACUAAUUUUGAUUAUAUACGUAAUGGUAUAUUACGAGUAUAAGAUCAUUCUUGCACUUAAGAUAGAAACAAGUCAGCGUGCUAGUGCAGUUUGAAAGAGUGUGAAAAUGGCGCCACACUGGGCACGAAUGUUCGUCAGCGACUGGGGAGGCUAUUAUUAAAAGCUUUUGGAAUUCUGUACUAACGCCAGGAAGUCUUAUAAAUCUGAUUCCAACGCUUAUUCAUUCAGACGCCAGACCCUGGAUUGGUAUCAUUAGAAUUUGACAAUACGACACCAAGUUUUGCAGAGGUAAACAUUAGAUAGGGGGAAAGAUUAUACACAAUGGAGUAUGUGGUUAUACGUAAAUUUAAUAUUUUUUAUUUUCAAGAAUUUUCUCUGUGUACACUUUCCAAUGUUUGUAAAUGAAUUGUAAUGCAUGACGUAAUUAUGGAAAAGAUUAUGUAACAACUAUUUUGUAUCUAAGAUCGCACUUUUAUAUGAAACCCUAUGCUAAGUUGACUGCAUUUUAACAGUGCAUCACACAAUUUUAUCUUAAUUUUACUCACACAUGAUCGUAAAGAAUCAUUUUAUGAAUGUGGCGUUGAAAAAUGCCAGAUUUGAUGGCCUUUAUGACCCUUUAUCUGGGCGAUAAAAACAGUCAAUUUGUUGUACUAUUAUGUUUAUGGCAGGUCAACCCCAUAAAAUAUGAUAUCAAAGCUAAGUAUCUCAUGAUCAAAAGUUGAUGAAAAUGUACAGCUACUAUUGAUCACGUGAACAGCGCAUGUUGGCUUACUAGCGACUAGCACGCCCCUGCCGGUGAACGGCGACACUACUACAGCGCCGGGCAGUCGCGUUGCGUCCGUAGCACGAUUUCAGCCAAGCCGGCACAGCCAGAGCCUCAUUCGGUGUCAAGUUGCGGUCGAUGUAAAGGCGUACGUGCUCUUGCAGUCUUCUCACCGGCUGUGAAUCUUUCUCGUGUGUGUUUACCAAGUUAUCAUCUGUUUCUUUGAGUUCUUUCCGCAAUACAGAAACCUCACAAUAGUGUAAGAGGACAGCUGGUGACUGAAUCUUUUUUUAUUUUGUCUUUAUUUCAUUAUUUUGAUUCUUGCUGCUGUAAAUUUCUAGUGAUAUAGGCCCAAGUAUUGUUUCUGAUAUUAUCUUACGGUUUGUUUGCAAGAUUUUGUGAUAGUGGACUUAACGAACACUUAGGUGACAGAAAGCCGCUACAUAGUCUAGUACAUUUUUGAUUGUGUCCCGGCUGAUUUCCUGCCAGCCCAGAUGUCCCAAGACGCGUGGUCUUUGCCGCCCAAGCAGGGCCUCUACGAUCCGCAGAACGAGAAGGACGCGUGUGGAGUCGGAUUCAUCGUCUCCAUCGACGGCACCAGGUCGCACAAG
rnacentral:misc_RNA from 1 species